rnacentral:rRNA from 1 species
GAUGAACGCUGGCGGCGUGCCUAAUACAUGCAAGUCGAGCGAACGGACGAGAAGCUUGCUUCUCUGAUGUUAGCGGCGGACGGGCGAGUAACACGUGGAUAACCUACCUAUAAGACUGGGAUAACUUCGGGAAACCGGAUCUAAUACCGGAUAAUAUUUUGAACCGCAUGGUUCAAAAGUGAAAGACGGUCUUGCUGUCACUUAUAGAUGGAUCCGCGCUGCAUUAGCUAGUUGUUAAGGUAACGGCUUACCAAGGCAACGAUGCAUAGCCGACCUGAGAGGGUGAUCGGCCACACUGGAACUGAGACACGGUCCAGACUCCUACGGGAGGCAGCAGUAGGGAAUCUUCCGCAAUGGGCGAAAGCCUGACGGAGUAACGCCGCGUGAGUGAUGAAGGUCUUCGGAUCGUAAAACUCUGUUAUUAGGGAAGAACAUAUGUGUAAGUAACUGUGCACAUCUUGACGGUACCUAAUCAGAAAGCCACGGCUAACUACGUG